AACGAACGCUGGCGGCAUGCCUAACACAUGCAAGUCGAACGAGACCUUCGGGUCUAGUGGCGCACGGGUGCGUAACGCGUGGGAAUCUGCCCUUAGGUACGGAAUAACUCAGGGAAACUUGAGCUAAUACCGUAUAAUGACUUCGGUCCAAAGAUUUAUCGCCUAAGGAUGAGCCCGCGUCGGAUUAGCUAGUUGGUGAGGUAAAAGCUCACCAAGGCGACGAUCCGUAGCUGGCUGAGAGGAUGAUCAGCCACACUGGGACUGAGACACGGCCCAGACUCCUACGGGAGGCAGCAGUGGGGAAUAUUGGACAAUGGGCGAAAGCCUGAUCCAGCAAUGCCGCGUGAGUGAUGAAGGCCUUAGGGUUGUAAAGCUCUUUUACCCGGGAUGAUAAUGACAGUACCGGGAGAAUAAGCCCCGGCUAACUCCGUGCCAGCAGCCGCAGUAAG
rnacentral:rRNA from 1 species